GUAGGUGGCAAGCGUUGUCCGGAAUUAUUGGGCGUAAAGCGCGCGCAGGCGGUCCUUUAAGUCUGGUGUGAAAGCCCACGGCUCAACCGUGGAGGGUCAUUGGAAACUGGGGGACUUGAGUACAGAAGAGGAAAGCGGAAUUCCAAGUGUAGCGGUGAAAUGCGUAGAGAUUUGGAGGAACACCAGUGGCGAAGGCGGCUUUCUGGUCUGUAACUGACGCUGAGGCGCGAAAGCGUGGGGAGCAAACAGGAUUAGAUACCCUGGUAGUCCACGCCGUAAACGAUGAGUGCUAAGUGUUAGGGGGUUUCCCGCCCCCCUUAGUGCUGCAGCUAACGCAUUAAGCACUCCGCCUGGGGGAGUACGGCCGCAAGGCUG
rnacentral:rRNA from 1 species